GGGGUAUAUAGUGUAAUUGGUAACACUAAACGUUUGCAACGUUUCAUUGCGGUUCAAGUCCGAUAUACUCCA
rnacentral:tRNA from 1 species